rnacentral:rRNA from 1 species
AGGCAAUAGAUACCCUGGUAGUCCUGACAGUAAACGGUGCACGCUUGGUGUGGGAAGUGACCCUUUCCGUGCCGAAAGCUAAACGCGAUAAGCGUGCCGCCUGGGAAGUACGAUCGCAAGAUUAAAACUCAAAGAAAUUGACGGGGACCCGCACAAGCGGUGGAGUAUGUGGCUUAAUUCGAUGCAACGCGAAGAACCUUACCUGGCCUUGACAUGUAUUGUGUCGGUGGUGAAAGCUGCCUAGUGUAGCAAUACACGCUUUGCACAGGUGCUGCAUGGCUGUCGUCAGCUCGUGUCGUGAGAUGUUGGGUUAAGUCCCGCAACGAGCGCAACCCUGUAGU